GGCCUUGUGGCGCAACGGCUAGCGCGUUCGCCUCCAGUUUCAAAACGAACGGAGAAUCAGCGAAAGGUUAUCUGUUCAAAUCAGGUCAGGGUCA